CAGAUCCACACCAGGAAGCUGUGAUUUAAGCCCAGCUCCAUCUGAUGGCAGCCUAGACCCUACACGUAGUAUUUCUGGAGUUCAGCAAUCAACUUGACCUAAUUCGUUAUGGUUUCCUCGAAAAAAAAAUAAUAAUACAGAAUUAACUGACUGCAAAACCGAACCCCGUGACUGCCUCUGUUAUGGCAGAAUAAAGUCUGCUCCCCGGCACCGAAGCCUGCCCCCAGCACUGCCAGUGUCCAGAUUUUGGUCGAUAACUCAGAUGGGAACAAGGGUUACGGCUUAUGUUUGCGGAAGGCAUGAAGACAGGCAGAAGAAUGUGCAACUGAACGGAAACUGGCAUUGACCCUGAACUCCAGCUGUGCUGGGGCUGUGCGACCCGUGCUGUCCUGUUCAGGUCAGUAGGAUAAAACUGAGGGUGCAAAAUGUAAGAGAGCCAAACGCAGAGCUCUGCAGGUAGGUUAAAGGAGAGUCGGGACAAGAGAGUCUCCUGGCCCAUGGUGCCUCUCGGGGGAAAGUCGGAGAGAUUGGUUCACUGCAAACGCAGCAGUUAGGAACACAAAUUCGCCUGCCUGUUCCAGAAGCAGCAGAUGUCAGCGCUGAACCUGGGAGCUCUGGAUGGAGGAAAUCCAGAAGAUGCAAACAUCAGGGUCAUCAUCCUAGUGACCCUCUGCCAGAAAGCCGAUCUCUUUCUUCGCAAAGGACCCGGUGUCAGGGAGCAGGGACAAGGGAACCCAUUGGUGAGAGGUCUGGAACCACACACAUCCUUCAAGCCUGCAUCGUGCCACCUUCCCAGCAUCUAAGUCCCCGUGGGCUCAGAACCUGAGAUUCUGACGUUUGGAAGGCCGUGCCCAACCGCACCAUCUCGGCAGGGACAGCACCCGUGCCUUGUCCUGCCGUCAGAGUUUAAAGCAAGACCAGCUUCUCGACAUCCCCACGUGUCCACUGCACCAUGCCUCAGCCCACUCCUGGGCUCGGCCAUCCAGGGACAGGUGUGAUUACUGACCCCACCCCAGCAACAGGAGGGAGCUGGCCAUUCAGGCUGAGACACAGCACCUUGCAUUCCCAUGGGGCUUGGUGCAGGGCUGCAGGCGAUCAGAGCCAGUUGGAAUUCAGCCAGGACAUUUACUGGAGCCAUCUGGAAAGAGGGUCCCACUUUCUGCCAAACCCAUGAGGACGGAAGGCUGGAGCUGCUUGGGGAAUGUGCAGGUGAUGGCCGGAGGCAACGCCCCCCCGAGGGGACCAGAGCCAGACCAUGCAGAGAGCAAAUGGGUCCCACUAGGGUUUCCUGUCAUUGCACCUGGAAGAAUCCUGACCAACCGAUCACCUUCGAGGUCAGUUCCUGGCCUGCCUUUUCCACACAACCUCCAAAGGGUAGAGAGAACACAGCUGCAUCACACUUCUGUGGCUUAGAGGACAUGCUGCUUUGGGGUUUUUGUUAAUGCCUUCUUGAAUAUAACCUGAGCUCCUCAACCAGGCAAGGGUCUCAUUUUAUAUCCUUCUGUGACUCCCACAGAGCCUGUUCCAACGCGGAAUAAAAAACGCUUCAUAAGACCUUCUGUGUAUUUACGCUGUAGCGUGAAUUUAGAUGUUCCACCCUCUUUCAAUAGACUUUUUCCCAAAGUAACCCAUAGCCACCCUCCC